GUCCACGCCGUAAACGAUGGAUACUAGCUGUUGGGGGCAACUUCAGUGGCUAAGCGAAAGUGAUAAGUAUCCCACCUGGGGAGUACGUUCGCAAGAAUGAAACUCAAAGGAAUUGACGGGGGCCCGCACAAGCGGUGGAGCAUGUGGUUUAAUUCGAUGAUACGCGAGGAACCUUACCAAGGCUUAAAUGUAGAUUGACCGGACUGGAAACAGACCUUUUCGCAAGACAAUUUACAAGGUGCUGCAUGGUUGUCGU
rnacentral:rRNA from 1 species